GUUAAAGGUGUUCAUAGGCCAGGU
rnacentral:siRNA from 1 species